rnacentral:rRNA from 1 species
UACGUAGGGGGCUAGCGUUGUUCGGAAUCACUGGGCGUAAAGCGCACGUAGGCGGCCUCUUAAGUCAGGGGUGAAAUCCUGGAGCUCAACUCCAGAACUGCCUUUGAUACUGGGAGUCUUGAGUUCGGGAGAGGUGAGUGGAACUGCGAGUGUAGAGGUGAAAUUCGUAGAUAUUCGCAAGAACACCAGUGGCGAAGGCGGCCAACUGGUCCGGUUCUGACGCUGAGGCGCGAAAGCGUGGGGAGCAAACAGG